AGUGUGGCUCAGUUUGGUAGAGCGCUGCGUUCGGGACGCAGAGGUCGCAGGUUCAAAUCCUGUCACUU
rnacentral:tRNA from 1 species